AGGUUCCCUGCUCCCCCAAGAGCAGCUCUUGACAACUACCACUCUUUUUACAGGCAGACUCGGUUCUCCAGGGUCUCCCCUGUUUAGAGGAGCCUCUCUGCUCAGCCUCCUCCUUAGCGAUGGGUGCUCUCGGGGGGUCACGGCCCCUCCCUAAGGUCAGGGGUUGGAGAGCGGGUCCUGCUCCUUAGGCAGGGUCACAGUUUCACCCGGUCGUUGUCAUUCCACCCGACCCCUCGCGGCGCCUCUCCUUUGGAGCCAUGGUUCCUGUUCCGGGAUCCCUCGGGCACGGCCCGGACUGCGGGGACACAGCUUCGAAGAGUCGGGAGGCAUCAGGUGGCCCUCAGCUCUCGUCCCCCGCGUCCUUCUCGCGGUGGCUGGUCGCGAGCCCCGGGGCCGGUGGCUGGCCGCAGCGCCUGGCGGGGUGGGGCGGCUCGCCACUGCGCCUGGCGGGGUGGGACGGGAUGGCGGCGUCCGCGUGGCUGGAGGCCGGCCUGGCCCGGGUGCUCUUCUACCCGACGCUGCUCUACACAGUGUUCCGGGGGAGGGUGAGCGGCCCGGCGCACCGCGACUGGUACCACCGCAUCGACCACACGGUCCUGCUGGGCGCGCUGCCGCUGAAGAACAUGACGCGCCGGCUGGUCCUGAACGAGAACGUGCGCGGAGUGAUCACUAUGAACGAGGAGUACGAGACCAGAUUCCUGUGCAACACUUCGAAGGAAUGGAAGAAAGCGGGAGUUGAGCAGCUACGGCUCAGCACAGUCGACAUGACUGGGGUACCAACCUUGGCCAAUCUCCACAGAGGAGUCCAGUUUGCUCUCAAAUACCAGGCACUGGGCCAUUGUGUCUACGUGCAUUGUAAGGCUGGCCGAUCCAGAAGUGCCACAAUGGUGGCAGCCUAUCUGAUUCAGGUACACAACUGGAGCCCAGAGGAGGCUAUAGAAGCGAUCACCAAAAUCCGGUCACACAUCUCCAUCAGGCCCAGCCAGCUGGAAGUUCUCAAAGAGUUCCACAAGGAGAUUACUGCAAGGGCAGCAAAGAAUUAACUACUGAUUCUCUCUCAUGCUGAUUUAAGAGUCUGAAGUCUGUGGGUAACAAAGAACUUGGAUCUCCCUGACAUACAGUAACAAGUUUAUAGGACAAAGCAGCUUAAGCCAACCACACUGCAAAUGUGCUGACUGGUAGAUAAUGUGUCUCCUUUGCCUUCCUUCCUGAAAUAAUACUUGGAUGGCUACAGAGAACAAGAUUGUCUGGCUAAAUCUUAUUUUCUUUGACAGGGAUAAGGAAAUAUUAAUUUUAACAGAAAUCUGUUGUUUCUAUUAUGUGUAAUGGCACUGUAAAUCAAAGACAUUUAAUGCUAGAAAAGGAGAGAAGUAUCUAGAUCUGUUCUUUCUAUUGUCAGAAUCCAAAUUUUAAUUGUAUGACUUGGCAGAGUGCCUGCCCAGCAUGUAUAAGGCCCCAAAUUUGGUCCUUAGCAGGUCCAAAAAUAAAAAUAAAAAUAAAGUUUUUCCCUGGC
ensembl:processed_transcript